GAAGCGCGAAAUGUAGUGUGAAUCGCAGAACAUUGUGAAUCAUCGAAUCUUUGAACGCACAUUGCGCCUCCCAUAACCGGGAGGCAUGCCUGUCUGAGCGUCAUUUAAACCCAUAAACCCCCCAUGGGGGUUCGUGUUGGACCUCGCCGCACGGCGUCGUCUCAAAGCCAUCGACCUCGGAGCGGACGAGAUCCACUAGGACAGAACCGUUCCACGGCGCAAGCAUCUUAACUUGACCUCAGAUCAGGUAGGAAUACCGCCUGAACUUAA
rnacentral:misc_RNA from 1 species